rnacentral:rRNA from 1 species
GUCUACAGUCAUACUACCCUGAACAGGCCUGAUCUUGUUUGAUCUUGGAAGCUAAGCAGGGUCGGGCCUGGUUAGUAAUUGGUUGGGAGAAGUCUUGCCCUUUUUGUCU